GAGUUACACUCCCAACCCCAAUGUGAACGUUACCAAUCUGUUGCCUCGGCGGGAUUCUCUUGCCCCGGGCGCGUCGCAGCCCCGGAUCCCAUGGCGCCCGCCGGAGGACCAACUCCAAACUCUUUUUUUCUCUCCGUCGCGGCUCCCGUCGCGGCUCUGUUUUAUUUUUGCUCUGAGCCUUUCUCGGCGACCCUAGCGGGCGUCUCGAAAAUGAAUCAAAACUUUCAACAACGGAUCUCUUGGUUCUGGCAUCGAUGAAGAACGCAGCGAAAUGCGAUAAGUAAUGUGAAUUGCAGAAUUCAGUGAAUCAUCGAAUCUUUGAACGCACAUUGCGCCCGCCAGUAUUCUGGCGGGCAUGCCUGUCCGAGCGUCAUUUCAACCCUCGAACCCCUCCGGGGGGUCGGCGUUGGGGAUCGGCCCCUCACCGGGCCGCCCCCGAAAUACAGUGGCGGUCUCGCCGCAGCCUCUCCUGCGCAGUAGUUUGCACACUCGCACCGGGAGCGCGGCGCGGCCACAGCCGUAAAACACCCCAAACUUCUGAAAUGUUGACCUCGGAUCAGGUAGGAAUACCCGCUGAACUUAA
rnacentral:rRNA from 1 species